UACGGAGGGUGCAAACGUUGCUCGGAAUCAUUGGGCGUAAAGCGCGCGCAGGCGGUCGUUCAAGUCGAGUGUGAAAGCCCCCGGCUCAACUGGGGAGGGUCACUCGAUACUGAUCGACUCGAAGGCAGGAGAGGGAAGUGGAAUUCCCGGUGUAGUGGUGAAAUGCGUAGAUAUCGGGAGGAACGCCAGUGGCGAAGGCGACUUCCUGGCCUGUUCUUGACGCUGAGGCGCGAAAGCUAGGGGAGCAAACGGG
rnacentral:rRNA from 1 species